UACAGAGGUCUCAAGCGUUGUUCGGAUUCAUUGGGCGUAAAGGGUGCGUAGGCGGCGUGGUAAGUCGGGUGUGAAAUCUCGGAGCUUAACUCCGAAACUGCAUUCGAUACUGCCGUGCUUGAGGACUGGAGAGGAGACUGGAAUUUACGGUGUAGCGGUGAAAUGCGUAGAUAUCGUAAGGAAGACCAGUGGCGAAGGCGGGUCUCUGGGACGUUACUGACGCUGAGGCACGAAAGCGUGGGGAGCAAACAGG
rnacentral:rRNA from 1 species